rnacentral:rRNA from 1 species
AUGUCGUCCGCUGCCGGCAAGUCGUCCCGGUCAGCCUCCGCCAUCACCGCCUCCACAGUGAGAGGGUACCACCUCCUCAAGAUCGACGGCUACUCCCUCACCAAGGGUGUACCUACCGGAGAUAAGAUAGACUCGGGCUCUUUCACCCUUGGAGGACAUCGAUGGGACAUCGAUUACUAUCCCAAUGGCUUGCAACCAGAAUAUGCAGACUACAUAUCCCCGAACCUUCAUCUUGAUUGCAGUAUCACCAAGGAGGUGAAGGCUCAAUGA